rnacentral:rRNA from 1 species
AGUGAACGCUGGCGGUAGGCCUAACACAUGCAAGUCGAACGGCAGCACAGUAAGAGCUUGCUCUUACGGGUGGCGAGUGGCGGACGGGUGAGGAAUACAUCGGAAUCUACUUUUUCGUGGGGGAUAACGUAGGGAAACUUACGCUAAUACCGCAUACGACCUACGGGUGAAAGCAGGGGAUCUUCGGACCUUGCGCGAUUGAAUGAGCCGAUGUCGGAUUAGCUAGUUGGCGGGGUAAAGGCCCACCAGGGCGACGAUCCGUAGCUGGUCUGAGAGGAUGAUCAGCCACACUGGAACUGAGACACGGUCCAGACUCCUACGGGAGGCAGCAGUGGGGAAUAUUGGACAAUGGGCGCAAGCCUGAUCCGGCCAUACCGCGUGGGUGAAGAAGGCCUUCGGGUUGUAAAGCCCUUUUGUUGGGAAAGAAAAGCAGCAGGUUAAUACCCCGCUGUUCUGACGGUACCCAAAGAAUAAGCACCGGCUAACUUCGUG